GUAGGGAAUAUUGCGCAAUGGGGGAAACCCUGACGCAGCGACGCCGCGUGAGUGAUGAAGGCCUUCGGGUCGUAAAGCUCUGUUGCAGGGGAAUAAAAAAAUGAAGGUACCCUGUGAGGAAGGAUCGGCUAACUUCGUGCCAGCAGCCGCGGUAAGACGAGGGAUCCUAGCGUUGCUCGGAAUCAUUGGGCGUAAAGAGGGCGUAGGUGGCUUGGUAAGUCAGGUGUGAAAGCCCAAGGCUCAACCCUGGAAGUGCAUUUGAUACUGCUGAGCUUGAGUGUCGGAGAGGUUACCGGAAUACCUGGUGUAGUGGUGAAAUACGUAGAUAUCAGGUGGAACACCGGAGGCGAAGGCGGGUAACUGGACGAACACUGACACUGAGGCCCGAAAGCGUGGGGAUCAAACAGGAUUAGAAACCCUUGUAGUCC
rnacentral:rRNA from 1 species